GACGAACGCUGGCGGCGUGCUUAACACAUGCAAGUCGAACGGAAAGGCCCUGCUUUUGUUGGGUGCUCGAUUGGCGAACGGGUGAGUAACACGUGAGUAACCUGCCCUUGACUUUGUGAUAACUUCAGGAGACUGGGGCUAAUACCGGAUAGGAGCUCCUGCUGCAUGUUGGGGGUUGGAAAGUUUCGGCGGUUGGGGAUGGACUCGCGGCUUAUCAGCUUGUUGGUGGGGUAGUGGCUUACCAAGGCUUUGACGGGUAGCCGGCCUGAGAGGGUGACCGGCCACAUUGGGACUGAGAUACGGACCAGACUCCUACGGGAGGCAGCAGUGGGGAAUAUUGCACAAUGGGCGGAAGCCUGAUGCAGCAACGCCGCGUGCGGGAUGACGGCCUUCGGGUUGUAAACCGCUUUCGCCUGUGACGAAGCGUGAGUGACGGUAAUGGGUAAAGAAGCACCGGCUAACUACGUG
rnacentral:rRNA from 1 species